ensembl:misc_RNA 7SK 7SK RNA
GGUUGUGAGGGUGAUCUGGCUGCGACAUCUGUCACCCCAUUGAUCGCCAGGGUUGAUUCGGCUGAUCUGGCUGGCUAUGCGGGUGUCCACUUCCUCCCUCACCGCUCCAUGUGCAUCCCUCCCAAAGCUGUGCCCUCAGUCGAAGAGGAUGGCCUUCCCCGAAUAGAGACAGACCGAUCUUUGGUCGAGGGUAUAGGAGUUGCUGCGUACCCCUGCUAGAACCUCCAAACAAGCUCUCAAGAAAGCAUAAGGUACAAUUACUAGAGUUGGAGUUAUUGAUAUUUUAUUUAAGCACACUCACUUUCUGCUUAUUGUU